rnacentral:lncRNA from 10 species
AGUGUAUAAUGAGCAGUGAGACGACUGGAGGUCACUUUCAUCGCCAUCUUGGUUUUGGUGGGUUUUGGACAGCUUCUUUACGCAUGCUGUUUUAUCAGCAAGGUCUUUGUGACCUGUAUCUUGUGCCGACCUCCUAUCUCAUCCUGUGACUAGGAAUGCCUUAACCUCCUGGAAUGCAGCUCACCAGCCCUCCAUGAAUGAGGAACUUCCUGGGGCCACUAGUGCAUGCUGCAGCUCACACAGUCAACUCCAUCCACACCUCCACAAACAGCUGCCCUUUGGCCACUACUCAGGCGUAAGGACACACCCAGCAGGGUAUGCCCUCUGGAGGUCAGACCAGGGAAGAAGCCCUUGCACAGUCAGGAGCCAGCUCAGCACCUGUGAUGCUGAAUUCUAUGUGGCAACUUGACUGGACGCAGGUGCUCGGAUUAAACCUGAUUUCUGGGUAUGUCUGUGAGGGUAUUUCCAGAGGAGAUUAGAAUUUGAAUCCGUGGAUUGGCAAAGUUGGUGUCUGCCCCAGUGUGGGUGGUCACCAUCUACUCUCCUGAGGGCCUGAAGAGAACAAAAGGCAAAGGAAGGAGGAAUUCGCCCUUAACUUGCUUGCCGCCUGCCUGCUUGAGCAGAGACAUUUCAUCACAUCUUCUCUGGCCCUCGACUGAGAUUCACACCAUUGGCUUCCCUGGUUCUCAGGCAUUUUGACUUGGACUGAACUACACCAUUGGCUUUCCUGGGCUCCAGCUUGCACAUAGCAGAUUGUGGGAUUUCUCAGCCUCUAUUAUUACAGGCGCCAGUUCUUCAAAAUCAACCUCUCUCUCUCUGUCUCUCUCUCUCUCCCUAGAUCACAGUCUGGAAGUCUGCUCACAGUCUCAAGGUUGGCAUAUCCCCUAGAGCCCCCAGACUCCUCAUCCCAUGGAGACCAACAUGGCCAGGGGAGGGCCAGAGCAGGGCCUUCUAAAUCACAGACCCCAGGGCAGGAGCCCCUCCGGUCUGGAUCUAAGGAUGGUAUUUUCAACAAUUCCUAAAUUUUUAUCCUAGGCUCUCCAAAUGGGAGUCUAAAGGUCUCAAAACAUGGUCCAGAAGAAGUAUGCAAAAAUGUAAAUUCCUAGGCCCCAACCCAGACCUAUGAAUCAGAUGAUCUGUAUGGGGGUUCAAGGAAUCUAUAUUAUUAAACAAUCUUCCUAAAUGACUUGUAUUCAUACUAAAGCUUGAGAAUUGCUAUCAAACAGCUAGAAGUUGGAGUGAAGGGUCCUGCCUUUCCCAUGAAAUUCAUCAACUCUAUGCCCUCAAAAGCUGGGCUCUUGGAUGAGCUGCUCUCCAUUCUAGAGACAUUACCAGCUAGGUAGCCUGCUGGUCCUCAGGAAGUUAAGCCCAGACUCUUCAGCACAGAAUCAGAUAAACACUGAUUACAUUGUACUCUACAGUUCUGAGAACACCAUUACUUAAUUCCCGGCAAGUUGCAAUGUAAUUGAGUAGGUUGUAGUUUUUUGGGUUUGGGGUUUUUUUGUUUUUUAAAUAUAUCAGGCGUAGUUAGCCAGCUUCCUAGAAACACCAUGAUCUCUUGGUGAAAAUUCCAGAAAUAUGCAUCACUUCCUAAUUAAAGUAGGGAAUUUUUAAAAAUUAUUAAACCACAUGCUUUCUAAUUCCUAUUGCCCUUUCUUUUCACCCACCAUUCAGCAGUCAGCAGACACUUUCUGGGUACAACAGGGUAGGACCAUCCAGGCAGAACAAAAGCCAUUGAUCAUGAACUACAGAGGAGAGUUUGGUAAAUGGACACCAGAAACCAUGGCCUACAGGGGCCUGGUUUUCUCCCAUCUAAAUACUAACUAGGCCCAACGCUAGUUGGGCUUAGCUUCCUAGAUCAGAUGAAAUUGGGCACAUUUAGGGUUGGGGGUAUGGCUCUCUAUUGUAAGUAGCAAGAGUUUGAGAGAAGAAAAAAGGGAUUUUCUUUUUUUUUUCUUUUAAAUUUUAGAGCAUUAACUUUAAACAUCAAGAUCCAAACCCCAAGGAUUCAGAGAAUCUUGUACUAUAAACCAUUUGUAUUAGUCAGGGUUCUCCAGAGAAACAGAACCCAUAGGAGGUAUAGAGAUAGAGAAAUAUGGAAUUGGCUCCCAUGAUUAUGGAGGCUGAGAAGUCCCUCAAUCUGCUGUCUGUGAGCUGGAGACCUAGGAAAGCUUAGCUGGUGGUACAAACCAGCCCAAGUGCAAAGGCCCAAGAACUAAGAGCACCAUUGUCAGAGAGCAGGAAAAGACAGAUGUCCCAGCUCAAAAAGAGAGAGCAAAUUCACCUUCCUUCCACCAUUUUAUUCCGUCCUGUUCCAUUCCUCAACAGGUUGGAUGAUGAGGGAGAUCUUUAUCCAUCUCAAGUUUUUUGUGCAAAUAUGGAAUACAAAUGAAAAAUACUUAAAGCACAUCAUCAUUGAUUUCCAACUUAGACUAGUUUAACUUCCCUUUUUCUUCUAUCCUGUCAGUUCCUUGAGGGAUCCUCUCUCCUUGUUCAUCUCUGCAUCUCUAGUAAUUAGCACAGUGCCAGGCACAUGGUAAUAUGGCUAAAACAGUGGAUUAUUGGUCUCCAACAUAAUUAAGCCCAUCCAAAAGAAAAACCAACCUCAUAAAUCUGCUUUGCAAAGUUCAUAAACAAUGGAUAUGCUAUGUCUCAAAGGUGCUGGCCAAAAAAAUUUAAGAACUUGGGAAUUAUGUGUUAUUUUGUUUGUUUUUUUCACCAAGCCUACUUUUCUGUCACAAGAGCCCAUAUCAACAACACACCCAUGUAUGUCCUUCUUUUUAUCUACUUUUCUCCAUGAAGUUUGUCACCAUCAACUGUUAAAACUGUAAAGAUUUGAUCAGCUAAAUAAGUGGUCUUUGAACUAAUUCCUCUCGUACUUCCUAAAGGAACUUUGAAAAACUAUGUAUCCCCUUGCACAUUUUCAAGCAGACACCUAAGAUUUUUCAUCAUAAAUUUGAAUAACUUCAAAAUAUGUACUUAUUAGCAUAUUGUAAAUAUUGAUUUUUAAAUAAAAUAUAUCACACUUUGUAUCCAAUGAACUCUAAACACCAUAGCAAUUUGACACUUACUCUCCCACCCUCAGUCUUAAAAAUUCACCAACAACCUCUUUUUUAACAACCGAAAAAUUUGUAUUAUUCCUUUUUAAAAUUUUGAAGUUUUCUGGAUUGAAUUAUUUUUAUAAUGAUUUUUAGUAUACAACUGACCAAAGCAACAUAAAUAUAUAGCAUAUUUUGAUAAAUAAUUAUAAAACAUAGCAAGUUAUGUGUUAUUGGAAAAUUAAACUAAAUGAAUGGAUCUUUUUAAAUUAGUUCGGGUAUCUGUGGCUGUUCCUAACUGUUAAAAUGAGACAGAGUCAGCGUCAAUUCUACUCUUAUUUUUUAUUUUUUUAGACGUAAGCCCUGAGAAAACUUGUUCAAUUAAAUAAGUAAUGAGAAUGUUAGGCAUUUUCUGAUAAAAAUGUCACUCUGUUAUUUGAAUGCCUUCUUGAUUAUAAGUCAAAAAGUACAUAGUGAUCUAUUAUCAAAAACUAUUGGCCUAUCUGUUGACAACUUGGGUAGGUCCUCCUUUAAUUUUAUUGAAAGCAAAGAAUUGGAAACUACCUAAUUUACAAAAAAAAGAAGAAGAAGAAGAAGAAGAAGAAAUGUGUUACCUAAUUAUUAGAGCUCACUUUCUAAGUUUCUAGGAAGUAUGACCCAAAAAAGCUUGGCCAAGACUUAUCACAUGGCUGUUGAUUAUACCAUCACCCUUUUACUUACAGGCGUCUUGCUUAUGGACCUAAAAAAGAUGAAACUGGAGUUAGAAACAAAAACAGAAAAUUGUAAAUUGUGCAUUUGGGGACUUUUCUCCUUGACUGUGAACAGAGACCUAUAUACAAUGCCAAAUUUCAUUUUUUAAGAAUGUCUCAAAAUGCAGAGUAAAGAAAUGACAGAAGGACAGACACUUGGGGAUAUUCAUGUAUAUACUAAUAACUUCUUCCCAAAUAUGACUGAAGACAAUACACUUAGCAGAACUGAAAUCAAUAUAUUAACAUCUGAAAGGGAGAAAUUAAUCCUAAUUCAAUCAAGCCAGUUUUCUAAAGUUCAGGUCAUUGCAUAUUAGAUUUACAUUUUGGAAAAAUUUUUUUUGCUUUUGAACCAAUAGAUUUCUGCUUUUGACAGUAUAGUUUAAAUACUUUAUGUAAGUUGACAGCAAGAGAAAGAACUUAGUCACCAAUAAGUAUAGUACAAGAUUAUGGAAAGCACAUUAAGGACCUCUAAGCACAUUAGUUAGAGUAUAAUCUGCAAUAUAUUCCUGUUAAAUUACUUAAUGCUAAUUCUGUGGACUGAAUUUCAUUCCCCCAAAAUUUAUAUUUUGAAGGCUUAACCCUUAAUGUGACUAUAUUUGGAAAUAGUGCCUGUGAAGAGGUGAUAAAGGUUAAAUGAGGUCACAGGCUGGGGUCCUACUUCACUAGGACUGGUGUCCUUUAAAGAAGAGGACAAGAUGCCAGAUGCUCUCGUUCAUGUGCCCCCUUUCUCUCUCUCUCUCUCUCGCUGGUUCACUCUCUCUCUCUCUCCUCCUGCCCCCCAUGUGAGGAUAUAAGGAGAAGGCAGCCAUCUGCCAGCCAGGAAGAGAGCCCACACCAGAACUUGACCAUGCUGACACCCUAAUCUUGGAUUUCUAGCCUCCAGAGUUAUGAGAAAAUAAAUUUCUGUUAUUUAAACCACCUGGUGCAUGGUAUUUUGUUAUGGCAACACAAGCUGACUUAUAUACCUAAUAACUACAUGGCAGGAAUUAAUACAUGAACGGGAAAGUUGUUCAUGAGUGACAGUGAGCAGGAGACCUGUACCUUCAUCAGAAAUGAAUAUAGAUUUCAUAUUUUGCUAACUUUUAGCAAAAAUUAAUGAAAGUGUUUCUCCUAUAAAUCUGAGUAAAUAUUUAAGAAAAUACAAAAUACUAACUUACCUCUAAUAUGUGUUUCUUUUGUUAGAAAAUGUAGCCUUGAUAUGUUGGAAGAAACUGUAGUCUUUUCACCUUGAAGUUAUGCAAAUUACACUCCUGAG